CUGUUGCUUCGGCGGGUAGGGUCUCCGCGACCCUCCCGGCCUCCCGCCUCCGGGCGGGUCGGCGCCCGCCGGAGGAUAACCAAACUCUGAUUUAACGACGUUUCUUCUGAGUGGUACAAGCAAAUAAUCAAAACUUUUAACAACGGAUCUCUUGGUUCUGGCAUCGAUGAAGAACGCAGCGAAAUGCGAUAAGUAAUGUGAAUUGCAGAAUUCAGUGAAUCAUCGAAUCUUUGAACGCACAUUGCGCCCGCCAGCAUUCUGGCGGGCAUGCCUGUUCGAGCGUCAUUUCAACCCUCAAGCUCUGCUUGGUGUUGGGGCCCUACAGCUGAUGUAGGCCCUCAAAGGUAGUGGCGGACCCUCUCGGAGCCUCCUUUGCGUAGUAACUUUACGUCUCGCACUGGGAUCCGGAGGGACUCUUGCCGUAAAACCCCCAAUUUUCCAAAGGUUGACCCUCGGAUCAGGUAAGAAUACCCGCUGAACUUAAGCAUAUCAA
rnacentral:rRNA from 1 species